rnacentral:rRNA from 1 species
UACAGAGGUCCCGAGCGUUGUUCGGAUUCACUGGGCGUAAAGGGUGCGUAGGUGGUGAGGUAAGUCGGAUGUGAAAUCUCCGGGCUUAACCCGGAAACUGCAUUGGAAACUACCUUGCUGGAGGGUUUGAGGGGGGGGACUGGAAUUCCACGUGUAGCAGUGAAAUGCGUAGAUAUGUGGAGGAACACCGAUGGCGAAGGCAGCCCCCUGGGUCAAGACUGACGCUCAUGCACGAAAGCGUGGGGAGCAAACAGG